rnacentral:rRNA from 1 species
CCUACGGGAGGCAGCAGUGAGGAAUAUUGGUCAAUGGAGGCAACUCUGAACCAGCCAAGUAGCGUGCAGGAUGACGGCCCUAUGGGUUGUAAACUGCUUUUAUGCGGGGAUAAACUGAGUCACGUGAGGCUUAUUGCAGGUACAGCAUGAAUAAGGACCGGCUAAUUCCGUGCCAGCCGCCGCGGUAAUACGGAAGGUCCGGGCGUUAUUCGGCUUUAUUGGGGUUAAAGGGAGCGCAGGCCGCAUCUUAAGCGGAGUGUGAAAUGCCGGCGCUCAACCGUGGCACUGCAGCGCGAACUGGCAAACUGGAGUGUGUGAGAGGAUAGUGGAAUUCGAGGUGUAGGAGUGAAAUGCGUAGAUAUCGGGAGGAACACCAGUGGCGAAGGCGACCAACUGGAACAUAACUGACGCUGAGGAGCGAAAGUGUGGGUAGCAAACAGGAUUAGAUACCCGAGUAGUC